AGGACGAACGCUGGCGGCGUGCUUAACACAUGCAAGUCGAGCGGUAAGGCCCUUUCGGGGGUACGACGAGCGGCGAACGGGUGAGUAACACGUGGGUGACCUGCCCUUAGCUCUGGGAUAAGCCUGGGAAACUGGGUCUAAUACCGGAUAUGACUCCAUGACGCAUGUUGUGGGGUGGAAAGCCUUGUGCGGCUAGGGAUGGGCCCGCGGCCUAUCAGCUUGUUGGUGGGGUGAUGGCCUACCAAGGCGACGACGGGUAGCCGGCCUGAGAGGGCGACCGGCCACACUGGGACUGAGACACGGCCCAGACUCCUACGGGAGGCAGCAGUGGGGAAUCUUGCGCAAUGGGCGAAAGCCUGACGCAGCGACGCCGCGUGAGGGAUGACGGCCUGGUU
rnacentral:rRNA from 1 species